rnacentral:rRNA from 1 species
GGACAAGAAUAAUCUCGGGAAACUGGGCAUAAUUCUUGAUAGAUCAUAAUGCCUGGAAUGGUUUAUGGUUAAAAUGAUUCGUCGCCAUAGGAUGGGACUGCGGCCUAUCAGCUUGUUGGUGAGGUAAUGGCCCACCAAGGCGAUUACAGGUACGGGCUCUGAGAGGAGAAGCCCGGAGAUGGGUACUGAGACACGGACCCAGGCCCUAUGGGGCGCAGCAGGCGAGAAAACUUUGCAAUGUGCGAAAGCACGACAAGGUUAAUCCGAGUGAUUUCUGCUAAAGAAAUCUUUUGCCAGUCAUAAAACCACUGGUGAAUAAGGGGUGGGCAAGUUCUGGUGUCAGCCGCCGCGGUAAAACCAGCACCUCAAGUGGUCAGGAUGAUUAUUGGGCCUAAAGCAUCCGUAGCCGGCUUUGUUAGUUUUCGGUUAAAUCCAUGUGCUCAACGCAUGGGCUGCCGAAAAUACUGCAUAGCUAGGGAGUGGGAGAGGUAGACGGUACUCAGUAGGAAGGGGUAAAAUCCUUUGAUCUAUUGAUGACCACCUGUGGCGAAGGCGGUCUACCAGAACACGUUCGACGGUGAGGGAUGAAAGCUGGGGGAGCAAACCGGAUUAGAUACCCGGGUAGUCCCAGCUGUAAACGAUGCAGACUCGAUGAUGCAUUGGCAUAAUAGCCAGUGCAGUGUCGCAGGGAAGCCGUUAAGUCUGCCGCCUGGGAAGUACGUACGCAAGUAUGAAACUUAAAGGAAUUGGCGGGGGAGCACCACAAGGGGUGAAGCCUGCGGUCAAU